UGAGGAAUAUUGGUCAAUGGACGCAAGUCUGAACCAGCCAUGCCGCGUGCAGGAAGAAGGUGCUAUGCAUUGUAAACUGCUUUUAUACGGGGGUAAUUACAGAUACGUGUAUCUGGAUGAAAGUACCGUAUGAAUAAGGAUCGGCUAACUCCGUGCCAGCAGCCGCGGUAAUACGGAGGAUCCGAGCGUUAUCCGGAUUUAUUGGGUUUAAAGGGUGCGUAGGCGGUCAGGUAAGUUAGAGGUGAAAGCUCGAUGCUCAACAUCGAAACUGCCUCUGAUACUGUCUGACUAGAGUGUAGUUGCGGAAGGCGGAAUGUGUGGUGUAGCGGUGAAAUGCUUAGAUAUCACACAGAACACCGAUUGCGAAGGCAGCUUUCCAAGCUAUUACUGACGCUGAGGCACGAAAGCGUGGGGAGCGAACAGG
rnacentral:rRNA from 1 species